rnacentral:rRNA from 1 species
AAUAGAUACCCGGGUAGUCCACGCCGUAAACGAUGUCGACUUGGAGGUUGUUCCCUUGAAGAGUGGCUUCCGGAGCUAACGCGUUAAGUCGACCGCCUGGGGAGUACGGCCGCAAGGUUAAAACUCAAAUGAAUUGACGGGGGCCCGCACAAGCGGUGGAGCAUGUGGUUUAAUUCGAUGCAACGCGAAGAACCUUACCUACUCUUGACAUCCAGAGAACUUAGCAGAGAUGCUUUGGUGCCUUCGGGAACUCUGAGACAGGUGCUGCAUGGCUGUCGUCAGCUCGUGUUGUGAAAUGUUGGGUUAAGUCCCGCAACGAGCGCAACCCUUAUCCUUUGUUGCCAGCGGUUCGGCCGGGAACUCAAAGGAGACUGCCAGUGAUAAACUGGAGGAAGGUGGGGAUGACGUCAAGUCAUCAUGGCCCUUACGAGUAGGGCUACACACGUGCUACAAUGGCGUAUACAAAGAGAAGCGACCUCGCGAGAGCAAGCGGACCUCAUAAAGUACGUCGUAGUCCGGAUUGGAGU